GGCCCGUUCGUCUAGUGGUUAGGACCUCAGGUUUUCAUCCUGGUAACAGGAGUUCGAUUCUCCUACGGGCUA
rnacentral:tRNA from 3 species